CAGCGAUGGUAUGUCUAUUGGUUCUUUCAGAAAUUUUGUAUCAGUUUGUCUUUGCUAAUUUUUCCCUUUUAAUGUGAAAGUACCUUUACUCAUGCGUAAAAAUAUGAGAUGUUCAGUUAAUUAUCUAGGAACAAAAUAUUGCAGACUGCACCUUUAAUGUUUGAUUUUUUUUUGGGCUUUUAGAUUCCAUUAUUAGGUUUGACCUUGUUGAGUUUGUGCGGAUAGUUAAUGCUGCUGUAUCAUUAAUGGGAUCAAACUCAAAUAUUGCAUGAUAGUUCCAAAUAUAUGCCUUUGCAAUGAUCUGAAGUUCUUAUUUCAUCCUUCUGGCCUCAAAGCUCAUCUUUGGUUUGUAGUUUGCAAACACCAUUGUGCUACAUAUUCAGUGGAGAUGUUAAGGCAUUUUACUUGUGGAAAACAGUUUUUUGUUUUCCAUUUUCCAUUUUCUAUGAAACCAAUUUUCAUUUUCUAUGGAAAAUAAGGGAAAACGUGUUCACCUAUCAAUAAUAGAAAACUGUUUUCUA
rnacentral:misc_RNA from 1 species